rnacentral:misc_RNA from 1 species
GUACCCUCAAGCUUUGCUUGGUGUUGGGCGUCUUGUCCCGCGUUGUCGCGUGGACUCGCCUUAAAGCGAUUGGCAGCCGGCAUAUUUGGCCUUGGAGCGCAGCACAUUUUGCGCCUCUUGCCUUGAAUGUUGGCGUCCAUUAAGCCUAUUACAUUUUGCA